rnacentral:rRNA from 1 species
UGUUAUUUAAAAUGUAAAUAUAAAAAAAAUAGAGUAGUAAUAGAUAUGUUCUUAAAACUUAAUAAAUUUGGCGGUAUUUUAAUCUUUUCAGAGGAACUUGUUUUAUAAUUGAUAAUCCUCACUAUAUCUUACUUAAUUUUGUUUAAUUUGUAUACCAUCGUCAUAAGAAUCUCUUAAAAAAGAAAAAAUUUUCAAAAUUAUAAAUUAAUAAAAAUGUCAGAUCAAGGUGCAGUUUAUGGUUAAGAAAAAAUGAGUUACAAUAAAAUUAUUUAUACGAAUUUAAAUUUUAAAAAAUUUAAUGAAGGUGGAUUUGAUAGUAAAAUAAAAUAUAGAAUUUAUUUGAUUUUAGUUCUAAAAUAUGCACAAAUCGCCCG